rnacentral:tRNA from 1 species
GAGGGUGGAGCUCAGUGGCAGAGCACCUGCCCAGCAUGCACAAGGUCCUGGGUUCGAUCCCCAGUGCCUCCA